rnacentral:misc_RNA from 1 species
ACAAUUCGCGCUCCGGCGUGAUGCGUAUACCCUGCACUUUGAGCACCUUUUAUACUCCCCCCGGCGGGGCAACCCGCCGGACGGGACAACCACAAAACCCUUUGCAUUAGAAAUCAUGUCAGUACAAAACAAAAUAAAUUA